rnacentral:rRNA from 1 species
UACGUAGGGUGCAAGCGUUGUCCGGAAUUAUUGGGCGUAAAGAGCUCGUAGGCGGUUUGUCGCGUCUGCUGUGAAAUCCCAGGGCUUAACCCUGGGCCUGCAGUGGGUACGGGCAAACUAGAGUGCGGUAGGGGAGAUCGGAAUUCCUGGUGUAGCGGUGAAAUGCGCAGAUAUCAGGAGGAACACCGGUGGCGAAGGCGGGUCUCUGGGCAGUAACUGACGCUGAGGAGCGAAAGCGUGGGGAGCGAACAGG